GAGGAGGAAAGAUGGGUGGCUACAAAGCUCGUGGGUAUCUGCUUCUCCUUUUGUGUGGCGCAAUUCUACUGGCGAUGAAUAUCAAUAUUCCAGAAACUGCAAGCGCAAAAAUCUGCCCAGAUUAUUGCAUAGGAGACGCAGCGUAUAUGACCUGCCUAUCUUCAGGCAAUGAGCAACUUAAUCCACCCUGCAAUUGCUGCUUUGCUUCAAAGGGCUGCACCAUUUACCGCAGCGAUGGAACUUCAAUAUGCAAUGGGACUUGAAUCUUGAUCAAGCUAGCUAGCUAGCUGGCCGGCUGUGCCAUCGUGUAUACAUGGCAUGUUAAUUUGUUAAACGUGAUAUUGCAUGUUUACUAGCUAGUACAUAGUAGUCAGCAUGCACUUACGUAUAUACAUAAUCUGCAAAAUGAAUUAAGUACGUACCUAGUACUUACUACCUAUAGUUAUAAAAUUCAAAUAAAACACGCGCGGAGAGUACUAUUCCCGCGUAUUCAUAUUAUAAAAAGAUAAUCUCUAUGUUAAUGCUUAGGUACGUACAUGUAAUUGUCGGGUCUUUAUAUAUAUAAUAUAGAGAAAUGACAUUUA